GGGUAUUUCAGGCCCCAUGGGUGGUGCCACAAGCAUGUGACCUUCAGGGCUCAGAGUUGGAGACAGCAGGCGAGCUGGUUAUGCAGGGGAAAGCGGAGACCCUCACCAGAUGACAGUGCCAUGCUUUUGGACUUCCCAACCUCCAGAAAUAUGAUAUCUGUAAAUACACAAGUACAGCAGCCAUGGCUUGGGAAGGGCAUAGUGAACAGGAGCUCGUACUGCUCAGAAAUAAGGAUCUGGAUCACAGCAUCAGCAAGGACUAAGAGACACCCCUAAGGAAGAAAAGUAGUAGUAGGCUGAACCUGCUUCCUGAGUUCCAGACGCCUAAAUGUGAUCUCCUUGAUUUCUAGAUGAGUCUCUCCUGCCUCCAACUCAACAGUCCUUGUAGAACUCAUCAUCUCCUUUAACCUUACAUAAACCUGAGCACAUCCUCCAUUAACUAACCACGCAGUUACACGAGGCCAAGCAUUGAGUGUCAUUCCUGGCUUUCCCUUCUAUACAGUUCCCGCAAUUAUAUCCAAUCAAUCCACUGAAUCUAGUCCUGUUGAUUCUACCUUCUUAGUACCUUUCAAAUAUAUCCUUGGCCUCCAUCCCUAUCCCAGUAUCCUAGUGUUCAGGGCACCAUUGCCUUUCAUUAGAUUGCCACAGGAGUCUCCUCACCUGAUUCUCAACUGCUACCUUGUCUGCACAUAAAACAGCUUUACAAUAGCCAAAAUGAUCCUUCUAAAUUUAAAUUUUGAUUUCUGCACUACCCUGCUUGAAACCUCACAAAGGCUGCCCACUGGCCAUAUGACAACACAUAAUCAUAAUCUAGUUUCUAAAUAUCACUUCAGAUUGUUCUCCUCCCAGGACCCAGGGGACAUUCCAAAAUAAUGCAUUCUUUCAGGCUCUCAAAAGAACCACUUCCAGGCGAGUCCUUCUCUCACUUCAUUGCUGACUAACUCCGCAGCUCCUUGGAAUUUAGUAUAGCUAUUACCUCUUUCCAGAGCUGUUUGCUGGCACCCCAAUGGCUGCCCUAGGUCCUAUUUUCCUGUGCUUACUAAGAUCUUAGCAUACAAGCACAUGUCGUUUCAUUGCACUUCACCUUAUUGAACCUUGUGGAUAUUGUUUUACUGUGUUGUCUAUCAGUGCCAUAUUUUCAACAGCACAUGCUCACACAUGUCUCUAUAUCACAUUUUGUUCAUUACCACAACAUUUCAAACCUUUUUAUUAUUAUUAUAACCAUUGUGGUGAUCUGUGAUGAGUGAUCUUUGAUGUUACUAUUAUAAUUGUUUUGGGGUGCCACAAACCUCACACAUAUAAAACAAUGAACUUAAUUGAUAAA
ensembl:lncRNA novel transcript